UAGGGAACCUUCCACAAUGGACGAAAGUCUGAUGGAGCAACGCCGCGUGAGUGAAGAAGGGUUUCGGCUCGUAAAACUCUGUUGUUAAAGAAGAACAUAUCUGAGAGUAACUGUUCAGGUAUUGAACGGUAUUUAACCAGAAAGCCACGGCUAACUACGUGCCAG
rnacentral:rRNA from 1 species